rnacentral:lncRNA from 1 species
UCGCCCGGCUAAUUUUUUGUAUUUUUAGUAGAGACGGGGUUUCACCGUGUUAGCCAGGAUGGUCUUGAUCUCCUGACCUCGUGAUCCGCCCGCCUAGGUCUCCCAAAAUGCUGGGAUUACAGGCGUGUGCCACCGCGCCUGGCCUCAUCUCUUAAUUCGAGUAAUUUUACAUAAGCAACAAUGGGGUAAGGAGGAGAAAAGAAAGAAGGAAAAAUUGGAAAGAUAAAUGGGGUCUUUCCAGUGAAGGAACUUGGCAAAUGUAUUUGAUGUACUACUUGAUUUAACAUCUAUGCUUCCGAAUGUUUAUUAUAAAGAAAUUACCAAGGCUCAAUUUUCCUACAUAAUUAAGAGUUUGGAAUUUGGGCAAUAUCAAGAACCACAUCUGUCCUGAAAUCAAUUAUCUCUGUUUGAAACACAAGAAAUAAGAAGACCAUUUUGAGAAGAACAGAGAGUAGCCUUAAGAAAAUCCCUGUCGCAAGCACUCUGGGAUUUGGACUCAAAUGCUAAUUAUACAACGUUGGUGGACCAGCUUUAAAACCAACAAUGAUUUGUAACAUUGAUUCUUUGGGAAAGGGCAUUCGGGAUCCCACAUCACCAUCUAACAAAUGAAUUUUUGUAAGAAAACCCAUUGAGACAAGAUCAUGUUCUGUUGCUCAGGCUGGAGUGCAGUAACACAAUCAUAGCUCACUAUAACCUCAAACUACUGGGCUCAGGAGAGCCCCCCACCUCAGCCUCUCGAGUAGCUUGGACUACGGGAACCACUUGGGUGCCCAGCUGCUGUCCAUUCUCCACACUUAUCCCACCUGAUGGAACGCUGUUGAGAAAAACAUCACUGCAAUGCCUAAUAAACAGACAUGGGUCCCAGACCCAAUAAGAGUGAAACCAUCCCCCUAUUUAAAUGAUAUUAUGGCUGAUGAGAAAGACAAAUUAAUUUCUCUGUCCCUAGUAUUACACAAAACUUUGGAUACUGCCAUUGUUACAAUUUUAUUUUCCCCAGGAGCUCAGAGUCCCACCUUCAUUCUUUUUGUCUAAUGCUUAAGCUUGCCUGUCCACCUA